rnacentral:lncRNA from 1 species
AAAAAAAAUAGAAUUAAUCAAAAGGACAUGAAGCAUAUUAAAGAGAAAGGUAUAUGAUAUUACAUUCGACAAGGAAAGUAACUGGUCUGCAACAUUGCAAUGAAAUCAAGCACAUAUUAACAUGAUAAGAGUUAAGAAAACCAAACCCAACAACCAACAUAGCCCAUCACAAUAUCUCAUCAAAACUCCAAAGACCCAUCUUUGUUUUUAUGGGACCCACCAUCCAGCUAUAAGGGUUUGUUUGGUUUUCCUCUCACAAAAGCAUUUUCUGACCAAUUUAGGCCAACUAUACCAUGACAUCAUGUAGACAUUUUACAAUAAACAUUCAAUGAAAAAAAGCUAUUCUUUUGCAAGAUAUAGUCAAAAGGUAUACACAUAUACUGAGGGAUUAACUGCAGCCAUCCGGUCCGGGUUCAGCGUGAAACUACACUGGCCAGGCCACAGAACAUGAUAACUUAGACAAAAAAUAAUGGUGCCGCUUUUGUUUUAAUGUAUCAACUAGUAUACACUUUGCCUCCUAUGAUUAUCAUCAUGAUCCGGUUGAUUGAACAAAUUGUAGCCCUAUUUGCCGCUUUAUGUGGUCAGGUAUCAACUUGUUAACAAGCUCUGGGGAUGCUCCUGAUAA